GAGGGUGUGGCUGAGCGGUUUAAAGCAAUAGACUGUAAAUCUAUCCACGAAUGUGAGCAUGGGUUCGAAUCCCAUCGCCCUCA
rfam:Fonticula alba strain ATCC 38817 mitochondrial scaffold supercont2.212, whole genome shotgun sequence.